UGUUUUACGAAGUGUCGAUUCUAAUCGCGUUUUUUAUCCGCAAUAAUUACAUAAUAAGAACGCAUAAUUAUUACAAAUUUUUGCCAGGAGUGCCGAUUAAAGUAACGGGCGAUGGUUGGAAUGUAUUAUUUACCGCGGAAAUUUGCGAUCAACGAUGUUUCCUCGAUCGUUUAGCGGUCGAUGGAUUGAAAGAGGUUAUGAUUGCAAGAUGUAGCGUCUAUUCAAGAAUUCAUUUUGGGUAAAUGUAAUUUACAAGUCACGGGCGACCAGAGAGAUGCAUUGUCGUACAAAAUUGCAAAAAUUUUUGACAAUUUGAAGCAUAAACAUUUGUGCCAAUUCGGGAUAAGUGAAUCGUCAUACUUCGCUUUAGAUUGUCGGCUCGAGUCACACGCGAGUGUGUCGGGAGUGUCGUUUAAAGCGCGAUUUCCGUACUCGGGUGAUACGCGCGUGUGAAUUGUGUCGUCGCGUGUGAGUGCUAGAAGACAGGAUUACUGACUAUGAGAGAAAAAGGAGGAGACUCAGAGUGACGUCAGAGCAACAUUGCGGUGAAUUUAUCGCAAAAAGUGCGAACUUUUUUUGGAAAUGGUGAAGGGACUUAAUAUUAAUGCGGAGUUGGAUUAAUGAAGGAAGGCAACAAUGCAGAUGAGGACGUUGCAGUAACUGAGACGGAGAAUGAGGAAAUUGAAACACCAAAUCUUUCCGAGAUAAAAAAGCUAUUGGUUCUUUGAGAAACAACAAAGCGUUACGAGAGGCCAUGAUCUCAGGAGAGCUGCUAAAAUACGGGGGUGCCGAGCUGCACCGGAAACUACAUAAACUCAUCGCUGAAGUUUGGAAGAAAGAGAAGAUGCCUGCAAAAUGGAACACGGCCGUCAUCUGCCCGAUCCAGGUCGACCACGGAUCAAAUCUUCUCCAUUAGGCAAAUACUAGAGAAAUGCUACAAAUUUAACGUCGAUUUGCAUCAAUUGUUCAUAGACUUUAAACAAACUUUUAAACUUGGUGACAGAAAUCAAGAGACGACGACUUCAUUGGCAUGUGCAUCGAAUGGAUGAUGCCAAAAAUACCAAGAUCUUCAUUUUCGGAUUGGAAGGACACAGAAAACAAGGCAGAUCGAAGAGACGAUGGCUGAAUAAUGUGACCUGAUCCGGAUCGGAGUAGGGGAGUGGCGACGCAAAGCCGAGGAAGAAAUUAUUGUAACAUAAAAAUCGCUAUUUUAAACAGUAAAAAUGUAAAGUGUACUUGUGGCUCAUCUGAGUAGAUAGUUUGACAGAUUAAAAUUAGAUAUACUAAAGUUGACUUUUAAUCGUAUCAACUGUAUAAAAAAUCAUUCUUUUUAUCCAAUUAAAAAAAUUAUUUGGGUUUGAUAAAUUUAUAAGAUUCAUAAUAAAAAUUUUUAACCUGUCAAACAAUUUCAGGAUAAGCCACAAUUUUUCAACUACCUUUUGUCUAGCUUUAAUGGACGGCAGCUCUGGUGAUAGAUACAUGCGACACGCGUUCUGACAUGCAUGGCAGCGACUGUCGCGCGUAAUCGGCUUAUCCUGCAUACACGCACACGCGCGUAUUCUAUUCUAAAAUCUAAUAUAAUUGGACAUUCUAUUUUAUGAUUGUUAUACAAUGUGACAUUGUAAGUUUUUUAAUUAUUUCGCAAGCGACGAUUUUCUAGCUCCGAUUUCCGAACAUUUGUAAUGCGAAUCAAUCAAAUCUGCUUCGAAUUAUAUAUUUUCUCGAUCGGUAUCGGGCAGGUGCAAAAAUUGCGUCGAAACUCAUCGCCGCGAUCAUCCCGCACAUUUCUGCCAUUCGUACGAACGCUAACUAAUCUGAUUAAUAUCCGAUUCGAACGAUGGAUAAUGAAAACGGUAGAUACGCCAUGACACCUACAUCCACAGGUGGCCAAUUAAUUUACAAGCGCACACACUUUACGUGACAUCGACAUAUCCCGAGCAUGAAGUCACGUCUCCCUUUGAUCUACGAACAGGUACGAGAACAUGAUCGACCCUUUGUGCGUAUGGCGGUCGCCGAUACGUCGCGAUAUGCUACGUUUUCGUGGAAAUUUCGGUUUCGCAUCGAUCGAAAGUAGAGAGCGUUGCCGCGCAGUGCUAUUGUUCGCCGUGACGUUCGACCGUCGCCGGGCGCAAAGUUUCGUUUACUUUACUAUAGUUCUCCGUUUAAUAAUCGUAAUGGAAACAGGUGCCGGGACCACGUGGCGAAAGCGCUCCCGCAGCUUUCCAUGAGAUUCACAGCUCGCGCAUCGCAUCGUGCAAGUGUAAAUAUCAUUGCAUCGCCGCUGGCACUCGUUCUUGAUUAAUCAAUAAAGCGCUUCGCGGUGCUCGAAAUUACGAGCAGCGACGAAUCAGUCGUAAAUCCGAUGACGCGGCGUGGCCCUCGCACGAACAGCCGUUUUCAUGAAAUUUAAAACGGGGGAUUACAAACGGAGAUAUUUUUUACGAGAACGCGCGUUUUAUUGGAAUAUUUUUGCGCUUGAUUGUGCCGCGCCGCUUUUUGUCGCAUACCGAUAGUCAGUUUUACCGUUCAAAUAAUUUCUACGCAAACCUAUUGUAAUUCUCUUGUAGAAUUUACUCAUAUUUUAGGAUAAAUCUGCUACAUCUUACGAAUAUCGUAAUCUUGUAUCACGUUUUUGAUACCAUAUGUAUGUCUACAUGUAAUUUAUUUUUUUUUUCUUAAAUUGAUCUAUUAUUUUGGACUUUCAAAUACUCUGUUUUUUCUCUUUCGAAAUUAUCUCAGUCGACUUAAGCCAUCGUUGACCAUAGAUCAGUGAGAAUAGAACUGAAACUGCAUCCUUGAAACUGGACAAGACAAUAAUUUCUUCAUGUCCUCUAGGGAACGAAGGAAAGGGAAAGAAAGUUUCUCCGUUGAAUAAAAAGUUAUAAGGGCCGCGGAAAGAAACUUAUCUCUGAGAAUAUGUCGUAAAUUCUUUUCUAUUAGCGGAUAGUUUGACAUUAAUUUGCGCGACAACAUUACAAUUUUAAUUCUCUGAAAGCAACAUCCGCAUCAAAUGAGACAAUUUUAAUUAACAUUUAUCACGACACAUUUUAUGACUGUAGCAAUUUAAUGGCAGGUGACCUGAAAGCGAAAGUGGGAAUUAAAGAACAAGACCGAAUUUUAGGAAAAUAUAAUGAUAACAAUAUAAAUGAGAACGGCGAAAAAUUUCUAGAAUUCUAACAUCGGUAACCAACAUUGGCUCAGAAUAAUAAAUAUGUUUUUCUCACAUAAAGACAUCC